UCUUGGUGAAAGCUCACUAAAAUAAACAUUGGACUGUAUUCAAAAUCGAUAAUAUACAGAGUGAAACCGUGUUAAACAGAGUGAAUAUCCACCGCAAUAUGGAUUUGUGGCACAUUAUGUAUUUCGGAACAGUGACACCAGUAUUUGUUACCAGUUCUUCAGUACCACCUGUAGAUGGAAAUUAGGAGGCAGCAGCUCUGCUGAAGGCCAGUCAGGAAAAGAGGGAGAGAAAGAAGCUGAGGGGACUGACAGGACUGAAGGAGCAGAUCUGAUGGAGGUUAGUGAUCAAGAAGAAAGUGAGGGAGAGAGAGCUGUAUACCUUUUGGUUAAAGUGAAUACUACAUUUAAUUGAACUUAACAGAGGAAAAUAUAGUCUUUGUCACCAUGACUGUGAAAUUCUGUCUUGUAGAUUAUUAAACAUGCCUAAAGAGAAAGAUCACGCUCUUUCUGAUCGUACCAACUGAGACUGAACUGACCUAUAAUCUGAGUGUUUGAAUAAUAUGUAAUAUAUUUAGGAUCUGCAGCUUAUCUAAGAGAGGUGAUGGCAUUGCUUGACUUCAGUACCUUUGCCUGUUGUAAGUGGUUACACUGACUCAAACUACGAAGAGACAGAUUUACCGUGUGCCAAUUUGAUAACCAUUUUUUAUACUUAAUACAGCUGAUGUACUUGACAUUUUCUGGCUGUUGCUGCUCUAAAACUGCAUCAUAAAUAUUUUGGGGCCAUUAAAAAAAU